rnacentral:sRNA from 1 species
GCUGGGUGCAGUGGUGCACACCUGUAAUCCCAACAGCUUGGGAGGCUGAGGCAGGGGGAUCGUGAGUUCAAAUCCAGCUUCAGCAAUUUAGCAAGGCCCUAAGCAACUCAGCUAGACCCUGUCUUGA